rnacentral:rRNA from 1 species
UAGGGAAUCUUCGGCAAUGGGGGUAACCCUGACCGAGCAACGCCGCGUGUGUGAAGAAGGUUUUCGGAUCGUAAAGCUCUUUUGUUAAGGAAGAACGAGUGUGAGAAUGGAAAGUUCAUACUGUGACGGUACUUAACCAGAAAGGGACGGCUAACUACGUGCCAGCAGCCUCCGUAAUACGUAGGUCCCGAGCGUUUUCCGGAUUGAUUGGGCGUAAAGCGAGCGCAGGCGGUUAGAUAAGUCUGAAGUUAAAGGCAGUGGCUCAACCAUUGUAGGCUUUGGAAACUGUUUAACUUGAGUGCAGAAGCGGAGAGUGGAAUUCCAUGUGUAGCGGUGAAAUGCGUAGAUAUAUGGAGGAACACCGGUGUCGAAAGCGGCUCUCUGGUCUGUAACUGACGCUGAUGCUCGAAAGCGUGGGGAGCGAACAGG